GUGGCAGCAGCCGCGGUAAUACGAGGGGGGCUAGCGUUGUCCGGAUUUAUUGGGCGUAAAGAGUUCGUAGGCGGGUCAGUCAGUCGAAAUUGAAAUCCCACGGCUUAACCGUGGACCCGGUUUCGAUACUGCUGAUCUUGAGUGAGACAGAGGUAAGCGGAAUUCCUGGUGUAGCGGUGAAAUGCGUAGAUAUCAGGAGGAACACCGAAGGCGAAGGCAGCUUACUGGGUCUAUACUGACGCUGAGGAACGAAAGCGUGGGGAGCAAACAGGAUUAGAGACCCUGGUAGUCCACGCUGUAAACGAUGAGUACUUGGUGGUGGGGGAUUCGACCCCUUCACUGUCGGAGCUAACGCGUUAAGUACUCCGCCUGGGGACUACGACCGCAAGGUUGAAACUCAAAGGAAUUGACGGGGACCCGCACAAGCGGUGGAUUAUGUGGUUUAAUUCGAUGCAACGCGAAGAACCUUACCUGGACUUGACAUGUUAGUGACACUCUGGUGAAAGCCAGAGCCUCUGCGAGCUUGCUCAAGGACACUAUCACAGGUGAUGCAUGGCUGUCGUCAGCUCGUGUCGUGAGAUGUUCGGUUAAGUCCGAUAACGAGCGCAACCCCUAUCCUUAGUUGCCAGCACGUCAUGGUGGGGACUCUAGGGAAACUGCCCGGGAUAACCGGAAGGAAGGUGGGGCCGACGUCAAGUCAGUAUGUCCCUUACGUUCAGGGCUACACACGUAAUACAAUGGGAAGUACAGAGGGUAGCAAAACUGCGAAGUUGAGCCAAUCCCAAAAAACUUCCCCAAGUUCGGAUUGCAGUCUGCAACUCGACUGCAUGAAGCAGGAAUCGCUAGUAAUCGCGCAUCAGCAUGGCGCGGUGAAUACGUUCCCGGGUCUUGCACACACCGCCCGUC
rnacentral:rRNA from 1 species